rnacentral:rRNA from 1 species
GUCCACGCCCUAAACGAUGUCAACUAGUUGUUGGUAGAGUAAAAUCUAUGAGUAACGCAGCUAACGCGUGAAGUUGACCGCCUGGGGAGUACGAUCGCAAGAUUAAAACUCAAAUGAAUUGACGGGGGCCCGCACAAGCGGUGGAUUAUGUGGAUUAAUUCGAUGCAACGCGAAAAACCUUACCUGGCCUUGACAUGUACCGAAUUUGGGAGAGAUUCCUUAGUGCUCGAAAGAGAACGGUAACACAGGUGCUGCAUGGCUGUCGU